CUCACGUUCUGGAACGCUGCCAGGAAGAAGGAAGCGGCGUUAGUAUAAAGAAUCACACAAAAGGCCGCAGGAGCCUAGAGGAAGAAGAAGGCAGCAACAGGUGUGAGGAGGGGCAGUCUCAUACUCAGAGGCCUCUGCUCUCUAACACAUUGAUGUUUCUGCAGCUGCAGUCUCUGGAUUCCUGCGUAUCUUGUCCUCAGUCUCCCCCUGUCCCUGUAGCCUCCUAGACCCAGCCAGGCCCUGCAGCCUCCAGGUGGCUUCCCAGCAACUCUGCACACAUGAGCUCAUCCAUCUCCAUCACCCUACGAGUGAGUUGCAGGCAGGUGAGAGAACAAGAUUACAGAAGAACAGGCUCAGCUCCCCACUAACAGGGAGCUCGCUCACGGUGAGAAUGCAGCCAAUUAUUCCUCCUGUUCUGGGGAGUAAUCAUUAAUGCCACAGGAAACUCUAAACAGCGAUUAAAUCAUUAUUGGGGAAGGCGCAGCAAGCCUGUGCCACCAUUAAGUGUCCCUGGUACCGUUGGUCUGGGGAAGACUUACCUGGAAGGGGGGGAAGACAGGGAGAGAUAGACAUUUUUCUCACCCCUGCAGCCAAACUGGCAGGGGCCAGCCCCAAAACCUUUGUCCUCACUCUGAGCUGCACACCUAGCUACUGGCCCCAAACAUCUUCUGACCCCCAGUGAUGGAGGCUCUCUUCCAAUAGGCUGAUGAAUCUGUUAAUUUAUGGACAUAUAUUUAUUGAGCACCUACUAUGUGCCAGGCAGUAUUCCAAGGCCUGGGGAGAUAUUGGUAAACAAGACAGUUGAGGCCCCUGUCCUCAUGGAGCUCACAGUCUAGUGAGGAAGGCACACAAUCAAAAAGUGAAUAAGUUACUAAGAACAUAAUCACAAGUUGUGGCAAGUGCUGAGGAGCAAAUAAACAGGAUGGUAGGCGUUUGAGUGGAGUGUCUACUUGGAGGACCUCGCAGGCCACCCACAUGGCAAUAGAUAGGAUUGGCCAGCAGUCUGUGCCUGUCUCCUGGGCCUGCAGAGCAUGUGUCAUAUGAACAUCUGCGACAUCUGAGCAGCCCUCUUCCUACUCUGAGUCUCCACCAUGCUAACUUUGGGAAGAACGUGAGUAUCCACAAUAGCUACUGUUUUUGAGCACUUCCUAUGUGCCAGGCAUUGCACUAAGCAACUGAUGGUCAUUACAUCAUGUCACCCGCAGAACAGCAGCAAUGUUAUGAAGUGGGUGUUUUUAUUUUUUAAGAUUUUUUUUUUUAAGAUUUUACUUAUUUAUUCAUGAGAGACACAGAGAGAGAGAGAGAGAGAGAGAGGCAGAGA